ACUCAAAUGAAUUGACGGGGGCCUGAACAAGCGGUGGAGCAUGUGGUUUAAUUCGAAACAACGCGCAAAACCUUACCAGCUCUUGACAUUAUUUUUGAGCUGUGAAAGCAGCUCAUUUUAAAAUAUAAUACAGGUGUUGCAUGGCUGUCGUCAGCUCGUGUCGUGAGAUGUUGGGUUAAGUCCUAUAACGAGCGCAACCCUUAUAAUCAGUUAAUUUAUUAUUGAAGAAAAUAUUUUCUUUAAAUAUUGAUUUAAUAAUAUACUUUGAUUAAACUGCCUGUGAUAAGCAGGAGGAAGGUGGGGAUGACGUCAAGUCCUCAUGACCCUUAUGAGCUGGGCUACACAUGUGCUACAAUGGUAAUGACAAUGGGAAGCAAUGAUGUGAAUCGGAGCAAAUCCUUCAAACAUUAUCUAAGUUCGGAUUGUUCUCUGCAACUCGAGAACAUGAAGUCGGAAUCGCUAGUAAUCGCGGAUCAGCACGCCGCGGUGAAUACGUUCCCAGGCCUUGUACACACCGCCCGU
rnacentral:rRNA from 1 species